UGGGGAAUAUUGGACAAUGGGCGAAAGCCUGAUCCAGCCAUGCCGCGUGUGUGAAGAAGGUCUUCGGAUUGUAAAGCACUUUAAGUUGGCAGGAAGGGCAUUAACCUAAUACGUUAGUGUUUUGACGUUACCGACAGAAUAAGCACCGGCUAACUCUGUGCCAGCAGCCGCGGUAAUACAGAGGGUGCAAGCGUUAAUCGGAAUUACUGGGCGUAAAGCGCGCGUAGGUGGUUUGUUAAGUUGGAUGUGAAAUCCCCGGGCUCAACCUGGGAACUGCAUUCAAAACUGACUGACUAGAGUAUGGUAGAGGGUGGUGGAAUUUCCUGUGUAGCGGUGAAAUGCGUAGAUAUAGGAAGGAACACCAGUGGCGAAGGCGACCACCUGGACUAAUACUGACACUGAGGUGCGAAAGCGUGGGGAGCAAACA
rnacentral:rRNA from 1 species